rnacentral:lncRNA from 1 species
UAACAAAGCAGCCUACCAUCUACACACCAUACAGUACCUUGGAGUAUAUGUAAACUAACCCGUGGUGUAUGAAUAUGCUAAUUAUUCAGUAGCGGCUCGAACGGUAGGAUGUGUACUUCUCCGAGCCCAUCAGAAGGUAAGGGUUAAUGAGUUUGCUGUGGCAUAUUGUGUGGAUCUGAGAGCGUUCUGGUGGUCCACGAGUUCACACACUUUGGUGAGGCGGUGACACUCGUGAGUCAUUUGCGCUGCGCUCUCAGGAGUGACAGCUGAUGCCCGCUCAUGGACCACUGCAUAAACACCACAGGAUCUGUCCACGAUACACCUGACCACCGACACAUCUCCGGCCGCGUGCUGUUUCCGCCUCUCUCCGCAUUACGCAUUACUCUUAGUUAUUUGCCAUGCCAAGCUGGAGGAGAAACCUGACUUUUUGCCUGCAGAGAAUGCAUGACGAAGGGUUUUGUAUGCAGGUUCAGUCAGUGCUACCUUCUUCCAUUUUGCUAACAUUUCAAGAUGCCAAUUUCAGUAAUAUCCAUCAGAACAAAAAGACACAUAACUGGCAACAUUGAGUCUAAAGUGUAAGUUACUCAGUAUUUUAUUGUACUUAUUGGAGUUUUAUGUAAAUUAUUGCUUGAUGAACAUUGUUUGCAUUAAGCGGAAAGUUUGGCUAAGCUACUCUUUUGUUGUUAUUUGUAAAACACUUCAGCUAUUGUUCUUGUUAUUUUCAGAAACUCGCUGUGCUCAUCUUCCUAUCUCAACCCAAGCUCUACAGCAC